UACGUAGGUGGCAAGCGUUAUCCGGAAUUAUUGGGCGUAAAGCGCGCGCAGGCGGUCCUUUAAGUCUGAUGUGAAAGCCCACGGCUCAACCGUGGAGGGUCAUUGGAAACUGGGGGACUUGAGUGCAGAAGAGGAGAGCGGAAUUCCACGUGUAGCGGUGAAAUGCGUAGAGAUGUGGAGGAACACCAGUGGCGAAGGCGACUUUCUGGUCUGUAACUGACACUGAGGCGCGAAAGCGUGGGGAGCGAACAGG
rnacentral:rRNA from 1 species